rnacentral:rRNA from 1 species
AGUCGAGCGGUAGCACAGAGAGCUUGCUCUCGGGUGACGAGCGGCGGACGGGUGAGUAAUGUCUGGGAAACUGCCUGAUGGAGGGGGAUAACUACUGGAAACGGUAGCUAAUACCGCAUAACGUCGCAAGACCAAAGUGGGGGACCUUCGGGCCUCAUGCCAUCAGAUGUGCCCAGAUGGGAUUAGCUGGUAGGUGGGGUAACGGCUCACCUAGGCGACGAUCCCUAGCUGGUCUGAGAGGAUGACCAGCCACACUGGAACUGAGACACGGUCCAGACUCCUACGGGAGGCAGCAGUGGGGAAUAUUGCACAAUGGGCGCAAGCCUGAUGCAGCCAUGCCGCGUGUGUGAAGAAGGCCUUCGGGUUGUAAAGCACUUUCAGCGGGGAGGAAGGCGGUGAGGUUAAUAACCUCAUCGAUUGACGUUACCCGCAGAAGAAGCACCGGCUAACUCCGUGCCAGCAGCCGCGGUAAUACGGAGGGUGCAAGCGUUAAUCGGAAUUACUGGGCGUAAAGCGCACGCAGGCGGUCUGUCAAGUCGGAUGUGAAAUCCCCGGGCUCAACCUGGGAACUGCAUUCGAAACUGGCAGGCUAGAGUCUUGUAGAGGGGGGUAGAAUUCCAGGUGUAGCGGUGAAAUGCGUAGAGAUCUGGAGGAAUACCGGUGGCGAAGGCGGCCCCCUGGACAAAGACUGACGCUCAGGUGCGAAAGCGUGGGGAGCAAACAGGAUUAGAUACCCUGGUAGUCCACGCUGUAAACGAUGUCGAUUUGGAGGUUGUGCCCUUGAGGCGUGGCUUCCGGAGCUAACGCGUUAAAUCGACCGCCUGGGGAGUACGGCCGCAAGGUUAAAACUCAAAUGAAUUGACGGGGGCCCGCACAAGCGGUGGAGCAUGUGGUUUAAUUCGAUGCAACGCGAAGAACCUUACCUGGUCUUGACAUCCACAGAACUUUCCAGAGAUGGAUUGGUGCCUUCGGGAACUGUGAGACAGGUGCUGCAUGGCUGUCGUCAGCUCGUGUUGUGAAAUGUUGGGUUAAGUCCCGCAACGAGCGCAACCCUUAUCCUUUGUUGCCAGCGGUUAGGCCGGGAACUCAAAGGAGACUGCCAGUGAUAAACUGGAGGAAGGUGGGGAUGACGUCAAGUCAUCAUGGCCCUUACGACCAGGGCUACACACGUGCUACAAUGGCAUAUACAAAGAGAAGCGACCUCGCGAGAGCAAGCGGACCUCAUAAAGUAUGUCGUAGUCCGGAUUGGAGUCUGCAACUCGACUCCAUGAAGUCGGAAUCGCUAGUAAUCGUAGAUCAGAAUGCUACGGUGAAUACGUUCCCGGGCCUUGUACACACCGCCCGUCACACCAUGGGAGUGGGUUGCAAAAGAAGUAGGUAGCUUAACCUUCGGGAGGGC